rnacentral:rRNA from 1 species
CCUACGGGUGGCUGCAGUGGGGAAUAUUGGACAAUGGGGGAAACCCUGAUCCAGCAAUGCCGCGUGUGUGAAGAAGGCCUGCGGGUUGUAAAGCACUUUCGGUUGGGAAGAAAAGUUUGGCGCCAAUACCGCCGAACCUUGACGUUACUGACAGAAGAAGCACCGGCUAACUCUGUGCCAGCAGCCGCGGUAAUACAGAGGGGGCAAGCGUUGAUCGGAAUGUGCGGGGGUAAAGAGUGCGGAGGUGGGUGAAAUCCCCGGGCUUAACCUGGGAACUGCAUUCGAUACUACAUGGCUAGAGUAUGGUAGAGGGAAGUGGAAUUUCCGGUGUAGCGGUGAAAUGCGUAGAUAUCGGAAGGAACACCAAUGGCGAAGGCAGCUUCCUGGACUAAUACUGACACUGAGGCACGAAAGCGUGGGUAGCAAACAGGAUUAGAUACCCGAGUAGUC